UGGACCAUAGCUUAACAGGUAAGAGCAACGGGUUUUGACCCCGUUUGUGGCUGUUCGAGCCAGUCUGGUUCAUCCA
rnacentral:tRNA from 1 species